rnacentral:misc_RNA from 1 species
UUUUUUGAUGUGCUAACAUCGAGGGGCUCUUCUCCUUUCCCAGUGCCAUUUAACAGAUCCUUGUUGCCGGAUUUUGAUCUUGUAUGUCUUCCUUGCACAUCUUUAAUUAUUUCCAACUUGCAGGGAGUAAUAGGCAAACUAACUUCUGAGUUGCCCACAUAUGGCACGCAUUCCAAGCCAGUUUGAACAGGGGUACCUGACCCAUUAUCCAUGCUUAUAUCAUCAACUAUUUGGUCCUCUGGUAAAUGCUUGUUCUGAAGCUUUUGCAUAUCAGAACCUGGCAUCAAGUUAGCUACCUGCAAUGCAUGUUCUUCAUCUAGCAAGGGAACUGCAUCCGCUAUGGUUCCUCCUCCACUCGUGCCACCACAGGUUAUAAUAACACUAUUGGACACAUUGGCAGAAACAAUUUUAUCACUAUCCUUACAAUAACUAAGAUAAUUGUCUGC